rnacentral:rRNA from 1 species
GACGUAGGAUGCAAGCGUUGUUCGGAUUUAUUGGGCGUAAAGCGCGCGUAGGUGGCUAGAUAAGUCUGGUGUUAAAGCUAGGGGCUCAACCCCUGUGUUGCACUGGAAACUGUCUGGCUCGAGGAUGGUAGGGGAAGGUGGAAUUCCGAGUGUAGCGGUGAAAUGCGUAGAUAUUCGGAGGAACACCGGUGGCGAAAGCGACCUUCUGGGCCAUUUCUGACACUGAGGCGCGAAAGCUUGGGGAGCAAACGGG